GAUUCCCCUAGUAACGGCGAGUGAAGCGGGAAGAGCUCAAAUUUGUAAUCUGGCGGUCUCGGGCCGUCCGAGUUGUAGUCUGGAGAAGCGUCUUCCGUGCCGGACCGUGUACAAGUCCCUUGGAACGGGGCGUCGUAGAGGGUGAGAAUCCCGUCUCUGACACGGACCACCGGUGCUCUGUGAUGCGCUCUCGAAGAGUCGAGUUGUUUGGGAAUGCAGCUCAAAACGGGUGGUAAAUUCCAUCUAAAGCUAAAUACGGGCGAAAGACCGAUAGCGAACAAGUACCGUGAGGGAAAGAUGAAAAGCACUUUGGAAAGAGAGUUAAACAGUACGUGAAAUUGUUGAAAGGGAAACGCUUCAAGUCAGUCGCGUCUCGCGAGACUCAGCCGGGUCGGUUUACGGCCCGGUGCACUUCUCGACUUGACGGGCCAGCGUGGAUUUCGACCGUCGGAGAAAGGCUUGCGGGAAGGUGGCACCUCCGGGUGUGUUAUAGCCCCCUGCCGUAUGCGACGGUCGGGAUCGAGGACCGCAGCGUGCCCCCCUUCAACUUGGGGGGGUCGGGGUUCGCCCACGUGACGCGCUUAGGACGCUGGCGUAAUGGCUUGAAGCGACCCGUCUUGAAC
rnacentral:rRNA from 1 species